rnacentral:misc_RNA from 1 species
AACUUUUAGCAACGGAUCUCUUGGCUCUCGCAUCGAUGAAGAACGCAGCGAAAGGCGAUAAGUAAUGUGAAUUGCAGAAUUCAGUGAAUCAUCUAAUCUUUGAACGCACCUUGCGCUCCUUGGUAUUCCAAGGAGCAUGCCUGUUUGAGUGUCAUUAAAUUCUCAACCUUAUCGGUUGGAUGUGGGGGUUGCUGGCUGGCUAGGUCAGCUCCGCUUAAAUGCAUUAGCUGGUGUUGACUGUCCUGUCUAUCGGUGUGAUAAUUAUCUACGCUGUGGAUGGAUGGUCCUUAGCACUGCUUCUAACUGUCUGUCCCAAGACAAAUACAUGACAAUUUGACCUCAAAUCAGGUAGGACUACCCGCUGAACUUAAGCAUAUCAAUAAGCGGAGGCU